GACGUAGGGCGCGAGCGUUGUCCGGAUUUAUGGGGCGUAAAGAGCUCGUAGGCGGCUUGUCGCGUCGACUGUGAAAUCCCGCGGCUCAACUGCGGGUCUGCAGUCGAUACGGGCAGGCUAGAGUUCGGUAGGGGAGACUGGAAUUCCUGGUGUAGCGGUGAAAUGCGCAGAUAUCAGGAGGAACACCGAUGGCGAAGGCAGGUCUCUGGGCCGAUACUGACGCUGAGGAGCGAAAGCGUGGGGAGCGAACAGG
rnacentral:rRNA from 1 species